GGGGAAACUACAAGCUAAUACCGCAUGCGCCCGUACGGGGAAAGGCGGGGGACCGUUCGGGCCUCGCACUAUUGGAUGAGCCUAUGUCAGAUUAGCUUGUUGGUGGGGUAACGGGCCUACCAAGGCGACGAUCUGUAGCUGGUCUGAGAGGACGAUCAGCCACACUGGGACUGAGACACGGCCCAGACUCCUACGGGAGGCAGCAGUGGGGAAUAUUGCACAAUGGGCGAAAGCCUGAUGCAGCAAUGCCGCGUGUGUGAAGAAGGCCUGCGGGUUGUAAAGCACUUUCAGUAGGGAGGAAACAGUAGCCGGUUAAUAUCCGGUUGCCUUGACGUUACCUACAGAAGAAGCACCGGCUAACUCUGUG
rnacentral:rRNA from 1 species